rnacentral:rRNA from 1 species
UACGGGGGGGGCAAGCGUUGUUCGGAAUUACUGGGCGUAAAGGGCUCGUAGGUGGCCAACUAAGUCAGACGUGAAAUCCCUCGGCUUAACCGGGGAACUGCGUCUGAUACUGGAUGGCUUGAGUUUGGGAGAGGGAUGCGGAAUUCCAGGUGUAGCGGUGAAAUGCGUAGAUAUCUGGAGGAACACCGGUGGCGAAGGCGGCAUCCUGGACCAACACUGACACUGAGGAGCGAAAGCCAGGGGAGCAAACGG